GCUUAUUAAAUCUUGAAGGAGAGAUUGAAAUCUCUUUGCUCAGAGGUCUUAAAAAGUAUGUUAAUUAACUGCCUUUGUUUAAGCUUUCCCUUGCCUAGAAGAAGAAACACAUGUCUUCUUGAAUUCCAUCCAUAAGUGAUUCUCUGGCUACAGUGUGAGGAAGAAAGACACCAAAAUCCAAAGUCUUGUGAGUGCUGAAUGAAGAUCCCAGGUUAAGAACUUUGAUCUAGAAGGAGGAAGUGAUCAACAGUGUAAAACUCUGGGAUAAAGGCCAAGAACAGUGAAGACUAAAAAGAAAUCAUAGAAUGUGGCCAUGAAGAACCCACUGGUGACUUUCAAGAGAGCAGUUUCAGGAGAAUGAUGAGAAUAAAAGCCAGACUGCAAGACAGAAGGGAAAGAAUGGAUGUUGAUGAAAACAAGCAAAAAAGUUACAACUUUAGAGCAAGGAGGUCAUAUAUCCAUUUUAAUCUUAUCUUAGUGAAUGACAUAAGAUAUUGGUAUAUACUUAGUUUCUACCAAACAACUUUCCAAUUGUCCCAGCAAUUUUUACCAAAUAGCAAGUUCUUAUUCCCAAAACUUGGAUCUAUGCUAUUGUCAAAUACAAGACCCACCUGAGAUGCCUGUAGGUGAUGUCUUGGAGGUCCUAUAGUGGAAGGAAGGCUGGAUUUGGAGACACAGGACCGAAGUUAAAUAAACUAACUAUCCCCCAGCUCUCCUGUUUACUG
rnacentral:lncRNA from 1 species